rnacentral:lncRNA from 1 species
UGAAAUUGCAUCAUGAAUUAGACAUUUGGAUGAAUUUUCUUUUGGAUUAUUUAAUAUCAAACGAUAUCGUGUUUGUGAAGCUUGAUUGAAUAAUGCUCUAAUAAUCAAUUGAUUAGAAAAUUGAUUGCUUAUUUGUUUUGAAAUAGGUGAAAUUUGACAUCUGACAGUCGCUUAAGGCAGUGUGAUCAUGCAGCAGGUUUUUUUUUUUUCCUUUUUUUUUUUGAGGUCGAUGCUGAUUCCGAAACAACUUGAUCACAACUACAAUCUUUGAUAAGCAGAGGCACCAUAUGACUACCAAUCCUUUAUUGCCUGACAAAAUGGGCGUGGGAGCAGGAAAUUGAUCUCGCUUGUUUUAGCUUAAUGUUUAAUAUUUUAUUUUUGGUAUGGCUGUCUUAUGUCAUAAUCAUAAAAUAUGUUCUUAGGUUUCUGUGAGACAUCUUUUUAUGAGGAAAAAAAAAAAUGCAAGACCUACAAAUGAAUAAGUAGAAUUGCUUAUUGCUGUAGCCAUUGGUGGAACUCUUUUGCGCACACUUU